rnacentral:lncRNA from 1 species
UUGCAGGAGAGACGUGAGGGUUAGUUGCAUUCAUGUUGCUCCAUUGCUUGAGAUGGAUCCAUUUGAUUGAGGUAUGUUCCUGCCCUUUUGUCCCACAUCGUUUUUUUCCUUUUAAAUUUUUAACACACCAUCAUAUCUACCGGUAGGUGCCAUUCUUCUUGUCUUUGCAUGUCGGUUUGUAUGUAUAGGUUGCCGAGCAGAUUAUUGGCACAUAGGAUGCACAACUGUACUAUUACUGAUUAUACAUAUACACAAGAAAAUGAGAAAGGUCCACUAAAUAAUCACGGCGCGAGGGCGAUUGACGCAGCUGAAUCAUUGAAUUACUCGCCUACAGAAUGUUCACCACUUGAGAGUUCCUUCCCUUAUUUCUAAUCAAUCUACAUAGAUACUUCUUCAUUAAGCUUUUGUGCACCAUCGGAAUUCAUCUUUGGCUGCUCUGUUUCCCCUCGAUGUCGAUUUCAUUUAUAUAUGACAUUCGCUUAGCUAUUAGCUUACAGCAUGCAUGGCCUCUGUAUUUUAUUUCUAUUUGACUUGCGACCAUUCUCCUUCUUAUUGCUUUUCAUAGGUGCCAUGCUGGAAAGAGAAUAUCUUUGUGUUUGUGUUACAGAAAGCAUGGCUGGCCUCUGUAUUUAUUUUUUAAGGUCGGCACACUACUUCUGUUAACCUGUAAGAAAAUCUCUACUAUAAAAGGAGCUAGGCUACCCGCCAUUCUGGGGCCUCUCCCGUGCGCACACAUAUUGGCCAUCUGAUU